rnacentral:rRNA from 1 species
GACAGAGGGUGCAAACGUUGUUCGGAAUUACUGGGCGUAAAGCGCGUGUAGGUGGCGAGGCAAGUCGGGUGUGAAAGCCCUGGGCUCAACCCAGGAAGUGCACUCGAUACUGCCUAGCUAGAGUCCCGGAGAGGUUGGUGGAACUCUCGGUGUAGAGGUGAAAUUCGUAGAUAUCGAGAAGAACACCGGUGGCGAAGGCGGCCAACUGGACGGUGAACUGACACUGAGACGCGAAAGCGUGGGGAGACAAACAGG